GAUGAAGAACGUAGCGAAAUGCGAUAAGUAAUGUGAAUUGCAGAAUUCAGUGAAUCAUCGAAUCUUUGAACGCACAUUGCGCCCCUUGGUAUUCCGAGGGGCAUACCUAUUCGAGCGUCAUUAUCACCCCUCAAGCCUAGCUUGGUGUUGAGGCCUGCUGUCAAGGCAGCCUCUAAAAUCAGUGGCAGUGCUGUCAGGCUCUAAGCGUAGUAAAUCUAAUCGCUAUAGACACCUGGUGGACACUCGCCAGAACCCCCCCAUUUUUUAAUGAUUGACCUCGGAUUAGGUAGGGAUACCCGCUGAACUUAAGCAUAUCAAUAAGCGGAGGA
rnacentral:misc_RNA from 1 species